rnacentral:rRNA from 1 species
GCAAGUCGAACGGUAACAUUUCUAGCUUGCUAGAAGAUGACGAGUGGCGGACGGGUGAGUAAUGCUUGGGAACUUGCCUUUGCGAGGGGGAUAACAGUUGGAAACGACUGCUAAUACCGCAUAAUGUCUUCGGACCAAACGGGGCUUCGGCUCCGGCGCAAAGAGAGGCCCAAGUGAGAUUAGCUAGUUGGUAAGGUAACGGCUUACCAAGGCGACGAUCUCUAGCUGUUCUGAGAGGAAGAUCAGCCACACCGGGACUGAGACACGGCCCAGACUCCUACGGGAGGCAGCAGUGGGGAAUAUUGCACAAUGGGGGAAACCCUGAUGCAGCCAUGCCGCGUGUGUGAAGAAGGCCUUCGGGUUGUAAAGCACUUUCAGUUGUGAGGAAAAGUUAGUAGUUAAUACCUGCUAGCCGUGAUGUUAACAACAGAAGAAGCACCGGCUAACUCCGUGCCAGCAGCCGCGGUAAUACGGAGGGUGCGAGCGUUAAUCGGAAUUACUGGGCGUAAAGCGCACGCAGGCGGUUUGUUAAGCUAGAUGUGAAAGCCCCGGGCUCAACCUGGGAUGGUCAUUUAGAACUGGCAGACUAGAGUCUUGGAGAGGGGAGUGGAAUUCCAGGUGUAGCGGUGAAAUGCGUAGAUAUCUGGAGGAACAUCAGUGGCGAAGGCGACUCCCUGGCCAAAGACUGACGCUCAUGUGCGAAAGUGUGGGUAGCGAACAGGAUUAGAUACCCUGGUAGUCCACACCGUAAACGCUGUCUACUAGCUGUGUGUGUCUUUAAGACGUGCGUAGCGAAGCUAACGCGCUAAGUAGACCGCCUGGGGAGUACGGCCGCAAGGUUAAAACUCAAAUGAAUUGACGGGGGCCCGCACAAGCGUGGAGCAUGGGGUUAAUUCGAUGCACGCGAAGCACCUUAACCUAACUUGACUUGCUGAGAAGUUACUAGAAGAUAGUUUCGUGG